AGUGAUCAUGCACAGAGAACAGACAAGCAGACACUCAAGGUCACGAACUUGACUGGGACGUUACUGGAGUGGAAAGAGACCAUCUGUGGAUAUUCUGUCUUCAACGUGGAUAUUUUCCAAUGUGCAAUAUGACUUUGGAGGAAACCAGUGGAGAAAACUCUACAGAAAGGAUGGAUUCGGUGACUAAAGCACUGGAAGAGGUCCUCAGCUCUGCUUUACCUCAGGGUUGCAUCACUGUCGGAGUAUACGAGGCAGCCAAGUCACUCAAUGUUGACCCGGAUAAUGUGGUGUUGUGCCUCCUGGCUACGGACGAGGAGCAGGUAGAAGACGUUGCCCUCCAGAUCCACUUCACCCUGAUCCAGGCGUUCUGCUGCGAGAACGACAUCAACAUCCUGCGGGUCAGCAACAUGAGGCGCCUCGCUGAGAUCCUUGGAGGAGUGAAGCCUGGAGGAGAGCCUAUGGACCUGCACUGUGUACUAGUUACUAACCCCCAGUCGACCACGUGGAAGGACCCAGCUCUGAGCAAAGUGAAUCGCUUCUGUAGAGACAGUCGAAUCCUGGACCAGUGGGUCCCCAUCAUCAACCUACCUGACUGAUGACUCUACCCAUGUUGUGCACUUUAUAUGUUAACACCGCACACUGCACUAGAUCUGUGUAAUAACCCCUUUGUUGGACCUCUCGUGAACAGCCUUGAUUCAACAGAGGGAAAGAGAUGGCGGGGGAAGGAGGACAAGGAAAUCUCCAACAAAAGAACAAGACAAUCUCCAACUCCAACAAAACUUGCUGGAUCAGUGUGGAUAUUAUGCCGAGGUUUCGGCUGAGGAAGAGUGACUCAGCGUUCUGGGUUCCAAGACUGCCAAGGCAGCAGGGCAUUGGAAUCUCCUGGAGGAUCAUAUGACUGACUCCAAGGACUGGACCAGAGUCAAGGACCGGACUUCAUUUAACCGGACUGGAUUUUACUGAACUGGACCAGAGUAGUCUGGACUAGUCUGGGACUACAGGUUGGAUAAUGGCUCAAGGAAAGUGGACCAAAUUCCCAUGUUGAUAUACUCUGGGGGGAAAAUAAAUCACAACUGUAAUUUAUAUGAUGUUGAUAAUCUCUGAAUUGUUAUUUUGAGAAUUAUUUAAAUAAAAAAAGGGACGAUAUUGUCAGGACAAAGCAAUGUAUUGACUUAAACAUUAACUUGUUGUUUUGUUUUAAUUAAUAUGUUUGCAUUAAUUUAAUGAAUUGUAUUUAUGUUGCAAUGUUCAUCAACAGCUACCUUUGUAGAGAAAUAAACUGAACUGAACUAAACAUUUAA